GAAAUCAAAUCUCUUUCUGAUUCAUCAUACCCACAAUGUUUUUACACAGCAUAAAAUUUCCCUAACAGAAAAUAGCAGCUUUCCUUCAGUAAAGAAAAUGCAUUCUCACAGAAUCAUGUUCAGUUAAAGGUCUUGCAAGCUGCCUGAUUUGAAACUGAUGUAGUUACUACUAAUUCUAAAAAAUUAUAUUUUUUUUCAGGAGAUUUUUUUUGUCAAGCAUCUCAAGUUGCUGCUUUCUGCUGCUGGAGGACCAGACCUUGGCUAAUGGCUGCUGGGGCAUGGCCCAUGCAAACUCCAUUCUCUGGUAGGACAAAUGGGCAUAACUUAAAGUCAAGCUGAGCCAAAAAUGUUGCAAGUGACAUUUCUUUCAGAGAUGUCUGCUUCAGAAAUAAAUCAGUAUUUCAACUUACCUUAAGAAUGAAAUCACCGAUGAAGGUUGCACUUUUUCUUCUUCAUCUCUCACGAGGCAAGGGAGGCGGUGGAGGUGAUGAAAAAGAGAAGAUACAGCUGUAACUGUGAGAAAUUUGGGUUUACAAAAUAUAAUAAUCUAAACUGUAAUUUAGCUAAAUGCAUGCAACUAUAUCUAACUCAUGAAAGGUACAUUGAGGUUGUUAGGGGCUAAUUCUGACCAGCCCUUAAUUCUGUAAAUAUACUUACUGAAAGAUGAUGAAGGCUGUGUGAAAAUUGUUUGAAUUCUUUAGGAAUGAACAGUCCAUGCUGCCCUGAAGAGAAAAGUACAAGUAUUUAAAUUUAAGUGCUUAGUACUUUGCAGUCUCAUCCACUCUGGAGGGUGUUUCCUUGGGCAGAAUGUGAUCAAUUAAGCCUGCAAGUCAAAGAGAAUGUGUUCAAAUUCAAAACACCAAGGGGAAACCGGGCAGUAGCAAUAUAUUUUCCAAGAAAACAAACAGGAAAGGGGCAUUUUUGACUGAGCUGCUCAAAUGAAGAAAGUCAGAGGAACAAGUUGGAGACCGGUCUCUGUUUUGGACCAUGUCUACAAUACUUCUGCCCAGUAUGUGGGGCUGGAAGAGCACCUGGAUGAGUGAUCAGCCUCCCUGCUCCUGUAGCAGCAUACUGAACAUCUUGCAGUGCUGAAAAUAGCUCACAAUAGCUGGUGGUUUGACUUUGAGAAAAAAAUAAGAACUACACAUCAGAUAAAGUUGAAAAAGUAAAACUAUAAACUUACAAUGCUCUUAUUAUUAUUAUUAGGUAAAAGUUUUUCUUGGAAUACUGCUAGAAGACGUAUGUGCUAAUGGGAGAAAGGAUGAAGAGUAUCACAUGGUGGAAUUCAUCCUCAACCUCCAGUGAUGAAAUUCGAAGAACCAAAAUGAUACUGGCAAAUGUAGAAGAAGCUGAAGAAAAUCUGGAGCACAAAAUCAUUUGCAGCACAUGGGGAUCCCAGGAGGGCAGAAGGUCAGAGGGAACAUUAAAUCUCAGGAUGCUGUCAAUUGGGAAUGGGUUUUAUUGUGGGAUAUGCAUCCUUCCAAAUCCAGCAUUAAUGGGCACCUUUAGAAUACUGAAGAGGAUGAUAACUUUCAAAUAUGAAGUUUUAGUCACAGUUUGGUUCCUGAGUAGUAGAGUGAAAUAAUAAUGGUAAUGAUGAUUGAAGCAAUAAUAGUAAUUAAAAUAAAUAUAACCGUGUAUCAUUCUUGCUAUUAUUGUUUAUGCUUUUCAGAAAGUUUUGUGGCUCAGCGGAAAAGGAAGAUUUUUCAGGCCUUCAUUAAUAGGACUAUUACAUCCCAGCGACUGCAGCAAACCACUUCACAAACCUAAAGCAUUGAAAAUAACUUGAGUUUUCUGCAGAACACCCUGUACUUUUAGGUCUCUGCUGUCUCCUGCAACUCAAAUUUGCGUUGUACUCAACAGAUAAACACCAUUAUUAGGGUAGGCAUUUAGGCAAUGAGAUGCAGUCAGUUUUAUUUCAUGCCAAGUUUCAGUCGGCAUCUCACUGUUUCAGUAAGUAGCUUCUUAAUGUGAUGUUAAAUCCCUGCUUUUCUCCAAAUCUCCCUCUCUGGAAUGUGGCUGAUUUGGCAGGGCUGUAUAAACACAUGGAAAAACAGCAGCAAUGCAGGCAAAACGAGACUGCCCCAGAGUGCAGAGGAUCAUCCGGAGUGGAGGCAACCAGGAUACAUGCCUUGGUCUGGAAGGUGUGGUGUGUUCCUGUGCUCCCACCAAAGACAGUGGCAGGAGAGCCCGCAUCUCUCUGUGACUCUCUCCCUCAGCAGCAGGAUGGAGAUGAAGAUUUCCUUUUGCUGUCAUGUCAGACAAGAGUGGAAGAUGGCUGAAGGAGUUUGGUUUCUGGCUUAGAUUCUCUAACACCCUUCAAGACAACACACCGUUCCCAG